GACGAACGCUGGCGGCGUGCCUAAUACAUGCAAGUCGAGCGAAUCUGAGGGAGCUUGCUCCCAAAGGUUAGCGGCGGACGGGUGAGUAACACGUGGGCAACCUGCCUAUAAGACUGGGAUAACUUCGGGAAACCGGAGCUAAUACCGGAUAAUUCUUUUCUACUCAUGUAGGAAAGCUGAAAGAUGGUUUCGGCUAUCACUUAUAGAUGGGCCCGCGGCGCAUUAGCUAGUUGGUGAGGUAACGGCUCACCAAGGCGACGAUGCGUAGCCGACCUGAGAGGGUGAUCGGCCACACUGGGACUGAGACACGGCCCAGACUCCUACGGGAGGCAGCAGUAGGGAAUCUUCCGCAAUGGACGAAAGUCUGACGGAGCAACGCCGCGUGAGUGAUGAAGGUUUUCGGAUCGUAAAACUCUGUUGUUAGGGAAGAACAAGUACUAGAGUAACUGCUAGUACCUUGACGGUACCUAACCAGAAAGCCACGGCUAACUACGUGCCAGCCGCCGCGGUAAAAC
rnacentral:rRNA from 1 species